GACGAACGCUGGCGGCGUGCUUAACACAUGCAAGUCGAACGGAAAGGCCCUGCUUUUGGGGGGUGCUCGAGUGGCGAACGGGUGAGUAACACGUGAGUAACCUGCCCUUGACUUUGGGAUAACUUCAGGAAGCUGGGGCUAAUACCGGAUAGGAGCUCCUGCUGCAUGGUGGGGGUUGGAAAGUUUCGGCGGUUGGGGAUGGACUCGCGGCUUAUCAGCUUGUUGGUGGGGUAGUGGCUUACCAAGGCUUUGACGGGUAGCCGGCCUGAGAGGGUGACCGGCCACAUUGGGACUGAGAUACGGCCCAGACUCCUACGGGAGGCAGCAGUGGGGAAUAUUGCACAAUGGGCGGAAGCCUGAUGCAGCAACGCCGCGUGCGGGAUGACGGCCUUCGGGUUGUAAACCGCUUUCGCCUGUGACGAAGCGUGAGUGACGGUAAUGGGUAAAGAAGCACCGGCUAACUACGUG
rnacentral:rRNA from 1 species